rnacentral:misc_RNA from 1 species
UUCUGUUCUUUUUUUUUGUUCGGGCUCAUGGGUGUUUUAAUGAUAUGGGUUGUGUUUUUGUUAAGUAGUUGGCUUCUUGAAAGUUGGGGCUCAGCUGAUACAUGAUUCAGUUUUUAUGAACAGAUCCGUGGUCGUUACUUUCUAGAGAUCCAUGGCAUCUGUUUGCUGAGUUUGCUAUUUGAGAUUCUAUCCCGUUAAAUCUUGAACAUUUGAGUGCUGUGGAACCUAGCUAGAUAAUUUAUUCUUAUUAGAAUUGUUCAUUUUGUUUGAUAACUUUCAUUUUCUGCACCUGGGAUAUGUAAUGGAGUCCGUGGAUAAAAAAUUUUAAUCCCCAUGUCUCUCCAGAUUUUCGUAUUAUUGAUUUGUUUUGUUAAAGUUCAAACCACAUAAAUCAAAGCCUUGGAAUUGAUUGAGAUUAAUUUUGGGUGUUCGUGUAAUCUAAUUACUAAAUAUAACUUUUGGUUAGCAUGAAGUCUGCAAACUGCAUACGUCUUAAUUGAAUUUGCAGUGCAAAAUUUUAGUUUAACAUUGUCAAGAUCUGUUACCUUUCUGUGAUCAGGCAAGAGUGAUUGUUUCUUUAGAGUUUGGGUGAUUAAUAAGGUGUUAUCUCGUCUGUCUUCCCUCACAAAUUAACUUGUUUUGGAUUGCUGUUUUAUGAUUCUUAUUUUA